UCAAUUCAGCCAUUUUGACCGGCCUGUGC
rnacentral:piRNA from 1 species